ACCGGCCAAUGUUACAAGCACACUUUCUAUCGUUGCAGUAGUAAACAGUCAAACCGCGUGAUCGGACAAAAAAGUCGCGGAGUUAUUGCGUCGCGGGCAUUGCACGGAUUUUCUCGUCUCGCUCUCGCUCGUGCCACGCAUGACUUAUUUUUUGCAUACAUCAGGUGUUUCGCGUGUUUUCUGACGCGCGCGCGCGACAGAAUAUAACCGGGUUAGACGAGUGGUGCGAUCUAAAAUGAUUCAAGGUGACGGAACGUGACAAUCGUGCGGUUAACAUUAAAAUGCGAUGACUAACUAAGAUAGAUAAGGACUAAUUACGUAGAAAACUUUGUUCUUUAUUUGCAACAGAGAAGGAUUAUUGCGUAUUGUAACUUUUGUAUCUAGCACGUGCGGCGAAGAAAAGAUACACGCCCACUUUCUACUCGAAAAUUUCAUCGAUUCGAUGAUAUAAAACGCUUGCAAGAUAUGACUCGAUAAAUAUUUGUUCAAGUAAAAUAAGACCUGUCAAAGCGAGGAAAAAGAAACACUGGACUCGCUUUCAUAGAUGUGAUAAAAUACAAUGAGUCAUGAUGAUUUUUUUAAAUCAUUAUACAUGUGCAUAUCUCCGGGCUUGCAAACAAUACAACCAAUGAAAAGGGCUAUAUAAUAAUGGCGCUUAUCGAGAAACAUCCAAUAAAAAUGCGACUUUUAUGUGUGACGUAAGCGCAAUACAAUUUCGUAGAUUAACUCACGUCUAAAAUAGUGCGGUGAAUCACCGGUUUUUGAUUGCAUCGAUAUCGUGGUAUUUUUCUUAUCAAUAUGUAAUCAGUAUCAUACAUUUUUCAUAAAUCUUUUGUAGAAUUUAUCAAUGAUAAGUGCAUAGAACGAUAAAAUUACAGGCUUUAAAGAAAUGAGUAGACAAAUAGAGAGACAAUUAACAAAUAUUAUAACUUGAUUCGCAACGUCCUAGCCGGACUUGUUGCUCAACAAUGUUCUGAAGAACCCAGAGAGACUUAGAACAUAGAUAUAGGACAAUCCUCCGAUAACCCACAUGUGGUAUCGGGAUGCUUCAUGCGACGCGUCAUGAAUCAGCCUUCGGAGACAACCUCACUGGAGCGGUAACGAGCCGAUACACCUCGAGAGCAAGCAUUUAAUCACGCGGAAAAGCUGACCGAAUAAACAGUGAUCGAUCUACAAUCUACAGCUAGGUGAGCGAGGCGAUACGAGAGCGGGACUACCGCGUGUACACAGGUGCGAGCCACGCGACACUGCGUACGUGCGUGCGUACAUGCGUACGCAAUCGUGUACACAUCGCUGGCCGCGAAAGGAGAGAACAGUUUGUCAUAUCGCUAGACUGCCUGUCGCCUGUGGCUCUUUAUCGGCUUUUUCUCCAGUAUGAUUGUCGUCCUCGGCAACCAGUCGACCGAUAAUGAUUCACUUCCUGCGAUAUGGUAAAUCAGGUGUCGCGAGGACAAAUCAUCCACAGAUACUCGUCGACGUACCUGAAGAUUGUAGAAGCAACGGAUGAGGAAACAGUCUUGUUACAGAAAUACUAACCGAGCUUGAAAUUGAGAAAAAGAAGCGCACCCCGAGUUAUACAGUCGGUUAGGAUAAAGUCGUUUCUCGUAUUCCUGAAGCAAGUAGUUUUGCUGCGCGACCUCAUUGUCUUCUUCUAAUCGUCUCGUGCUCGAGCUCGAAAUGACUGGAUGCAGACGAGUCGUCCUGAAAGCGGAGUAACCGUGGAGAACGGGGUAUACUUUGCGAAGCAGGUAAUCUACCGAGAGAUACGAUGGGAACUUUUAGACUAUGGCGCAUGAAUAACCGUCGCCCUCAACCUCAUCAUUCGUUUACCAAAGAGGUUGCCAAGAAUUUUUACGGACGAUGGAAGAAUUGUUGAAUUUAACAGCUGCGCCAGACUUCGGAGUAGCGGACCAUGAACAGACUCACGAGAUGGCCCGUAAGAAGAUUUAAGAAAAAUAUUGCCCGCGGCGCAGUGUUUACGAUUCCCCUUUAUCGCAAAAACUCCGAUGGACGUGAUAAAUAUUGAUAAACGCAAUAAAUAUUAAUAAGUACGGCUCGACCAAUCUCUUCCGUUUAGCGAUUUCCAACACUUUACAUUCGUUAAAAGAGUAUUUUAAAGGAGUAUUUUAUUCGUAACAUAUAAUUGACUUCUCUCUCUUAUUCACUACAUUGUUUUUUUCGCAUCGCUCUCCUCUCACGUGCUCUUUCGUCCUCUUAUUUUCUUCUUUGCCAGAUUCUCGCAAUUUCUCCUCCUUCCUCCUUCAAUCAUCAAUCCACCGGCCAACGAAUCUCGCGGUGAAACCAGUUUCUAGCUCGCUUAUUUCGUACUCUGUAUUUGCGCAACAAUAUAUAUUGGCGCCGAUCGUGUUUGCUCAAAGCAAGUGUCGUUUUUUCUUCAGCCGCGUGAUUAUUCGUUCGCGAACGGCUUCCGCGAUUCACGAUGAUCAAAAUCGCCGCACUAUUUCAUCACAAAUGUUUUUCCGAUGAAUUUUAUGCGCAGCGAAAGCCAACACCUAUUCCGUUUGUUCAUCCCGCGAUUCACGCCUUGCAUAAUUCGCAUCGACGCGCCAUUAGCAUAUCGAACCACAAGUCAUCGCGUGAGUUAUGAUGGAAAGGGUUGAAUUGUGCACGAAAUUAUUCGAGCGUCGAAUUUAAAUGCGCUGCCCCGGAACAGAGAGUCAAGUGAUAUUAAUUGUCGUGACAAAAAGAGCCGAGGAGUCACGAGGAAGAGGGCCGCCUUUGGACGAAACUAAUUGCUCGCGAAGAGAGUCGCGUGUCACAGACAUCCAAAGAGAUGAGUUGAAACAAUGUCAAGGCAGAGAAGGUCAAGAGCAAGAAAAUUCGAGAAAAGUGAAAAAAACCGUUUAUUGAAAAUUUUGUUGUUAUCUGUUAAUUACAGCGCACAUUUAUAAUUUAAUAUAAUUUGCUGUUAUGAUAAUGAUUAAAGUAUUCCAAGAUAAGCAGUGGCUACAAUAUUCACUACAGGACGCUACAGGACACUAAAGGACGCUAAAUAUUAUAAAGUGUCUCAUCGA